CAAUAGGCAACUGGAGGGAGUAUGACCACGGAUCUCAUUGGCUGCCAAUCUCCGUGCAUAAGGAAGAGAGAGGGAGGCAGCCAGGGCAGCAUUGUUAUCUUAAGACACUCAUCUGGUGCCUGAGUCUGCAGGUGACACUGCUUAGGUACGGAGUACCGAGUCAGAAUAUAGAACACAGGGCUACAGACCGCCUUUGACUCAAAACGCUGAGAAGAACCGGCCCCUCCUUUAGUUGUUCCUCGAGCAGGGGGGGACCUCUCUACUAGUUAACCCACCUAUGUGGGUGCACCUGCUGUGUGUAGAGAAGGCAGGAACAAAUCAGCUAGCAGCAUGAUCUCGGCUGAAAGACUGUGGACUUGCCUUUCUCCAAGUGAAAAGCAGUGAUUGGGAGGACAAGGAGUGCGAGUCUUUUUUAGAGUUGGAAAAGAAAAUUAGGUCCUGGAUUUCUCCUCUGCAGAGGGACCUGGGACUCCCCAAGGGGCUGGCUCUGGGCUGUCCUUGCUUUUUCCGUCCUGUCUUCGCCCUCCUGAUCCAAUCCAGAAGCACUCCUUAACCAUGCUUUGGGUUACCGGAGUUCUUGGUGUUCGGCUGGAAGAGAACAGGCGAGAGGUAUAGCCGCUCCAGCAGCAAAGGGAAGACAGCAUUUGGAAGGGGUAUCCGUGCUCUCUCCCAUUCUGAAAGGAAGGCAUUCGCAUUCCCUCCAAAUAUGGGGAGAGGGGGGAAGCACGUGAAAUCAUGAAAUAAAAACUUUGGAAAGCUGCCACUGGAGAUGUGGUCGGUGCUGAAAAAACCCUGGAAUCUGUUAGGAAUCUCCUCUCAGACGCUCUGGGGCUUGGGAGCAGCUGAUACAGCAAGGAAGUCUCUUGCAAGGAUUCAAGCUUUAAUCUACAAUCAACAAACUGUCAUCAUGUCCUCAGAUGCAAUCUGUGAAUUAGGAACAUCCGACUUAAAAACGUCUCUCACAUAGGAAUGUUGGGUGACCUCUAGUCCCCUCUCUCAAGAUUCCCGUCCUACCUUCCUCAUCAAGAAAGCAACCAGACCAUCUGGGACCUCUGCCACAAUCUGGUGGGUUGCAAAGAGACUCGAAUUGUCCAACAUCCUUUAAUAUAGGGAUAGGAAUUUGGACUGGAUCUGUGACUUCAUUUGUACAGGGAACAUGGAAGUCAGGAAACU
rnacentral:lncRNA from 1 species